AUGAACGCUAGCUACAGGCUUAACACAUGCACGUCGAGGGGCAGCGGUAUCGAAAGCUUGCUUUCGGUAGCCGGCGACCGGCGCACGGGUGAGUAACGCGUAUCGAACCUGCCUCAUACUCGGGAAUAGCCUUGCGAAAGUAAGAUUAAUGCCCGGUGUUUUCAGAGUCCCGCAUGAGGCUUUGAACAAAGAUUUAUCGGUAUGAGAUGGCGAUGCGUCCCAUUAGCUUGUUGGCGGGGGUAACGGCCCACCAAGGCAUCGAUGGGUAGGGGUUCUGAGAGGAAGGUCCCCCACAUUGGAACUGAGACACGGUCCAAACUCCUACGGGAGGCAGCAGUGAGGAAUAUUGGUCAAUGGGCGGAAGCCUGAACCAGCCAAGUAGCGUGCAGGAAGACGGCCCUCCGGGUUGUAAACUGCUUUUAGUUGGGAAUAAAACGGGGCUCGUGAGCCCCCUUGCAUGUACCAUCAGAAAAAGGACCGGCUAAUUCCGUG
rnacentral:rRNA from 1 species